UCUUAUGGAUGAGCAAAGAAAGUGUUUUUUUUUUUUUUUUUUUGAGGUGGAAUAUACUUCUGGUGAAGAUGCUGUGAA
rnacentral:pre_miRNA from 1 species